rnacentral:rRNA from 1 species
UAUAAUUUACUUGAAUUUGACAACCCUACUUGGAUACCGGUGGUAAUUCUAGCGCUAAUACAUGCGCCAAAGCUCCGACCGCGAGGGAAGAGCGCAUUUAUUAGAACAAAACCACACGGCUUCGGCCGUCCAAUGUUGACUCAGAAUAACUAAGCUGAUCGCAUGGUCUUGCACCGGCGACGUUUCUUUCAAGUAUCUGCCUUAUCAACUUUCGAUGGUAGUGUAUCUGACUACCAUGGUGAUGACGGGUAACGGAGGAUAAGGGUUCGACUCCGGAGAAGGGGCCUGAGAAAUGGCCACUACGUCUAAGGAUGGCAGCAGGCGCGCAAAUUACCCACUCUCAGUACGAGGAGGUAGUGACGAGAAAUAACAAGACCGUUCUCACAAGAGGCCGGUCAUUGGAAUGGGUACAAUUUAAACCCUUUAACGAGUAUCUAUGAGAGGGCAAGUCUGGUGCCAGCAGCCGCGGUAAUUCCAGCUCUCAAAAUGCAUAGAAUUAUUGCUGCGGUUAAAAAGCUCGUAGUUGGAUCUGUGCUGGCCUCCCGGUCCACCUCCGGGUGCGCACUGGGCAGGUUGGCUUUUCUGUCGUUUACGCGGAUGUUCCUAACGGGGCAACCGCAUCGCGACAAUUUUACCUUGAACAAAUCAGAGUGCUCAAAACAGGCGUUUCGCUUGAAUGUUCGUGCAUGGAAUAAUAGAAGAGGAUUUCGGUUCUAUUUUAUUGGUUUUAUAGACUGAGAUAAUGGUUAACAGAGACAAACGGGGGCAUUCGUAUUGCUGCGUGAGAGGUGAAAUUCUUGGACCGUAGCAAGACGGACUACAGCGAAAGCAUUUGCCAAGAAUGUCUUCAUUAAUCAAGAACGAAAGUCAGAGGUUCGAA